rnacentral:ncRNA from 1 species
GCAGACAGAAGAGGAGCGUUACCCAGGUAUCUAGGAUUGCGGGGCCCCACCCCAAGGCAGUCUGGAGAGGGGGAGUAGCGCCGAGAUAUGUUGUGACAGGGGGCAUGGCAUAUCGGCUUGGAAGGUUGAAUCCUUCUGGCUGUCACCUUUCCAGACGAUAUAGGUAGUGGAAAGGUGGGGAGCUUCUGGUUGU